rnacentral:rRNA from 1 species
UACGUAGGGUCCGAGCGUUGUCCGGAAUUACUGGGCGUAAAGAGCUCGUAGGUGGUUUGUCGCGUUGUUCGUGAAAACUCACAGCUCAACUGUGGGCGUGCGGGCGAUACGGGCAGACUUGAGUACUGCAGGGGAGACUGGAAUUCCUGGUGUAGCGGUGGAAUGCGCAGAUAUCGGGAAGAACACCCGUGGCGAAGGCGGCUCUCUGGGACGGUACUGACGCUGAGACGCGAAAGCGUGGGGAGCGAACAGG